rnacentral:lncRNA from 1 species
GAUCACCCCCAAGCCCCCCAAAACCACCCGUAACCCCCCCCAAGGCCCACCCUUGGGACCCGGGGGGCACCCCUGGGGCCCCGGGGGGGCACCCAUGGGUGCAGCACCCACCACGCGGACGCGCUCCAGGUCGACCUCGGCGCGGCGCAGCUUCUCCCAGCAGUAGUGGCGGUUGCACUUGCGCUUGGGCACCCGGCAGAAGUCGCCCGUCAGCUCGAAGACGUCGCGCACCAGCGGGCACCCGCACACCUCGUCCGCCGGCACCUGCACCCAUGGGUGCCCCCCAACCACAUCAGGGGGGAGGCGGGUGGGGGGCGUGGGAACACGUAGGGAGCCCCCAUGGGGGUUGGGGGGUGGGCAGGGGGGGGCACAGGGUGGUUUGGGCGCCCUAUGGCACCCAGGGGUGCGCCCACAGUGGGGUUUGGGCACCCUAUAGCACCCAUGGGUGGCCCCCCAGCAUGGGUCUUGCACCCUAUAGCACCCAUAGGUGCACCCACAGCACGGUUUGGGCACCCUAUAGCACCCAUGGGUGCACCCACAGUGUGGUUUGUGCACCCUAUAGCACCCAUGGGUGCACCCCACAGCAUGUUUCUUGCACCCUAUGGCACCCAGGGGUGCACCCACACCUCUAGAUGAGCCUCACGACAUGGUUUGGGCUCCCUGUAGCACCCAUGGGUGCACCCCACAGCACAGUUUGGGCACCCCAUAGCACCCAUGGGUGCACCCACACCUCUACAUGAGCCUCACGACAUGGUUUGGGUACCAUGUAGCACCCAUGGGUGCACCCACACUGUGGUUUGGGGACCCUAUAGCACCCAUGGGUGCACCCCACAGCACAGUUUGGGCUCCCCAUAGCACCCAUGGGUGUACCCACACCUCUACGUGUGCCCUACAGGGUGCUUUGUGCACCCUAUAGCACCUAUGGGUGCACCCACAGCAGGGUUUGGGCACCCUACGGCACCCAUGGGUGCACCCACACCUCUAGGUGUGCCCUACAGGGUGGUUUGGGCACCCUAUAGCACCCAUGGGUGCACCCACAGUGUGGUUUGGGCACCCUAUAGCACCCAUGGGUGGCCCCCCAGCAUGUUUCUUACACCCUACAGCACCCAUGGGUGCACCCCCAGCCUCACCCACCCACCCCCCAGCACCCAAAGCACGAUUCCUGCACCCCCUAACCCCCCCGGGUACACCCCCAACACCCCCCAGCCACCCCCCAGCCCCCCAGG